GAUGAACGCUGGCGGCGUGCUUAACACAUGCAAGUCGAACGAAACACCUUAUUUGAUUUUCUUCGGAACUGAAGAUUUGGUGAUUGAGUGGCGGACGGGUGAGUAACGCGUGGGUAACCUGCCCUGUACAGGGGGAUAACAGUCAGAAAUGACUGCUAAUACCGCAUAAGACCACAGCACCGCAUGGUGCAGGGGUAAAAACUCCGGUGGUACAGGAUGGACCCGCGUCUGAUUAGCUGGUUGGUGAGGUAACGGCUCACCAAGGCGACGAUCAGUAGCCGGCUUGAGAGAGUGGACGGCCACAUUGGGACUGAGACACGGCCCAAACUCCUACGGGAGGCAGCAGUGGGGAAUAUUGCACAAUGGGGGAAACCCUGAUGCAGCGACGCCGCGUGAGUGAAGAAGUAUUUCGGUAUGUAAAGCUCUAUCAGCAGGGAAGAAAAUGACGGUACCUGACUAAGAAGCCCCGGCUAACUACGUG
rnacentral:rRNA from 1 species